rnacentral:rRNA from 1 species
CCUACGGGAGGCAGCAGUGGGGAAUAUUGCGCAAUGGGCGAAAGCCUGACGCAGCGACGCCGCGUGAGGGAUGAAGGUCUUCGGAUCGUAAACCUCUGUCAGCAGGGAAGAACGGUCACUUUGCUAAUCAGCAGUGAAUUGACGGUACCUGCACAGGAAGCACCGGCUAACUCCGUGCCAGCAGCCGCGGUAAUACGGAGGGUGCGAGCGUUAAUCGGAAUUACUGGGCGUAAAGGGCGCGUAGGCGGUAGGUCAAGUCAAGGGUGAAAUCCCCGCGCUCAACGUGGGAACUGCCUUUGAAACUGGACAACUGGAGUGUGUGAGAGGAUAGUGGAAUUCCAGGUGUAGGAGUGAAAUGCGUAGAUAUCAGGAGGAACAUCAGUGGCGAAGGCGACUAUCUGGCACAUAACUGACGCUGAGGAGCGAAAGCGUGGGUAGCAAACAGGAUUAGAUACCCGAGUAGUC